rnacentral:lncRNA from 1 species
CUGUCAUUAAGAAGUGCUGUUGAAGCCUCUUUCUUCUCACGGGCUUCACGACGUCUUUUAAGAAUAUCAUCUUUAUUGCGUGCAUAAUACUUUUUUUUCCUCUGCCUCUUCAAUUCUUCAAGGUAUGUUAUAAAUACAUACCGCAACUUAGCACAUAAGCAACAGCAAAACAGUAGAGCAAAGUAGGAACUGGUUGAUGAUAGUUACCCAAUGUCUGGUUGUUGCUUAUAUCCUGAAAUGGGGUGCGCGCCCCCGCACUAUUGGGAGAUGUCAUACCUUCACCUUCAUGUGAAUAUUCAUGCCAUUAAAUUUUGAGAAGCAUGGAAACUGUGGAAAUUAAUCAUGAACACCACCAUUAGAUGCAAACAUAGUACACUGUCCUUUCUCUUGAUAUUGUGUUUCAGCAGAGUUCUACUUUGACAUUAAAAUCAAUUUUGAAUGGCAGAUCCCCUUAUUGGACCACAUUAAGUUGUUGGCCCUGCUAUUUAACGUCCAUGGUGAUGCUGAUGAUGAUCUUGGCAGGGGUAAUGCUUUGAUUUCAUAGACCUGUUGCUUUGAUAGCUAGAGAACUAAUUUCUCAAGAGGACUUGAUUUAGUGUUCUUAUGAUAUUUUUUAGCUGGCGCUGUUUUUUUUUCAUGGAUUUUUUCUGUCCACUACAUCAUAAAUCUGGUAAUAUAAAAGUAAUAUCUAUUUUUGAUUAUGUAAUGACCGACUGUUAUCUUGCUUCUUACUCAUGUAUCUUCAGAUUUAUGUAUCUGCCUGGGGUCUUGGCAUGUCCUUGAGCACGCAUCAGGUAUCUAUGUAUCUGUUGGUAUCUUAGUGCACUUUGUAGUUUCAGAGUAGCACUCUAUAAUUUGGCACAUGCUGACAUGCCUAUGAGUGUAUAUGUAUGUGCAUGUGUACUGGCCAUAGGCCCGAGCUGAAACUAAUUAUGAUUAAUUUGCUCGUUCUGUGAUGUGCGCUUACAUUAAUACCAUUGGCACCUUUGUAAAUUCUAUAAGCUAAAUCCAAUAUUGUAGGUGUUCUGCGACAACUCAAGUCACCUUCGUAAAUUCAGAAAGCCAAGGAGACAGGGUGCAUGAUUCAGUUAGUUACAAAAUUGCAGUAGCCAAAACACUAACCAUGUUCCACAUAGAAAACCAUUAAUUACAGAUAUAAAACGAACGGCUUAUAGCAUUAUGCUGUGCAACUGUUUGUUUUUUAGAACUCUAUUCUGAAAAUUCUAAUCCUGUAUAAUGUUGCAAUAGGUGAAAGGAAGAAGUUGAACCUGAAGAAGGGCAGGGAAGAAUUAUAGCUUUGUGUGGCCGGCUGGUUCAGGGGACGUGCAGGGCGGGCGCGGCUCCGCGGGUGCCGAGGCAGGCUCCUGGGUGGCUAUCUCGCGGAUGGGCCACACUGCAAGGGCAGGUUCGUGGGCGCCCGCUAUCUUGCUGACGGAUUACACGCUGUGAGCAGCAACAAUCGGCGGUGGCGAUCUUGCAGGGAGGCGACCGAGCGGUGCAGUGCCGCGAGGUAUCGAUGCGGGCAGGAGACGGGGUUGGUGGGAGGCACCCUGAUCAAGGGCGAGGGAAGCUAAUUUAGUUGAGUUUCCUUAUUAGUUUGCGAUCACAAUUGCAUAAUUGUAGGGGACGUGGGCUGGUACUUGGAAUAUUCCUCCGGUGGUGGAGUACGGUCAGUCAUAGGAAUUUGCUAAGUGCACACCGUAGAGGUAUUAGAUCAAUGAUGGCUGUUAGAUUAGGACAUGUGGGACUAAUUGUGUGGUGUUGAUUGGUUCGUAUGUUUUGUGGUACUAAUUUUUGGGUGCACAUAAGAAAGUUCUUGUUUGAUUGUUUAAUAAUAGUGGAGAUGGAGAUAAUAUCUAUUUUUGAUUAUGUAAUGACCGACUGUUAUCUUGCUUCUUACUCAUGUAUCUUCAGAUUUAUGUAUCUGCCUGGGGUCUUGGCAUGUCCUUGAGCACGCAUCAGGUAUGUAUGUAUCUGUUGGUAUCUUAGUGCACUUUGUAGUUUCAGAGUAGCACUCUAUAAUUUGGCACAUACUGACAUGCCUAUGAGUGUAUAUGUAUGUGCAUGUGUACUGGCCAUAGGCCCGAGCUGAAACUAAUUAUGAUUAAUUUGCUCGUUCUAUGAUGUGCGCUUACAUUAAUACCAUUGGCACCUUUGUAAAUUCUAUAAGCUAAAUCCAAUAUUGUAGGUGUUCUGCGACAACUCAAGUCACCUUCGUAAAUUCAGAAAGCCAAGGAGACAGGGUGCAUGAUUCAGUUAGUUACAAAAUUGCAGUAGUCAAAACACUAACCAUGUUCCACAUAGAAAACCAUUAAUUACAGAUAUAAAACGAACGGCUUAUAGCAUUAUGCUGUGCAACUGUUUGUUUUUUAGAACUCUAUUCUGAAAAUUCUAAUCCUGUAUAAUGUUGCAAUAGGUGAAAGGAAGAAGUUGAACCUGAAGAAGGGUAGGGAAGAAUUAUAGCUUUGUGUGGCCGGCUGGUUCAGGGGACGUGCAGGGCGGGCGCGGCUCCGCGGGUGCCGAGGCAGGCUCCUGGGCAGUGGCUAUCUUGCGGAUGGGCCACACUGCAAGGGCAGGUUCGUGGGCGCCCGCUAUCUCGCUGACGGAUUACACGCUGUGAGCAGCAACAAUCGGCGGUGGCGAUCUUGCAGGGAGGCGACCGAGCGGUGCAGUGCCGCGAGGUAUCGAUGCGGGCAGGAGACGGGGUUGGUGGGAGGCACCCUGAUCAAGGGCGAGGGAAGCUAAUUUAGUUGAGUUUCCUUAUUAGUUUGCGAUCACAAUUGCGUGUGUAGGGGACGUGGGCUGGUACUUGGAAUAUUCCUCCGGUGGUGGAGUACGGUCAGUCAUAGGAAUUUGCUAAGUGCACAUCGUAGAGGUAUUAGAUCAAUGAUGGCUGUUAGAUUAGGACAUGUGGGACUAAUUGUGUGGUGUUGAUUGGUUCGUAUGUUUUGUGGUACUAAUUUUUGGGUGCACAUAAGAAAGUUCUUGUUUGAUUGUUUAAUAGUAGUGGAGAU